rnacentral:rRNA from 1 species
CACGUAGGGGGCAAGCGUUGUCCGGAUUCAUUGGGCGUAAAGAGCUCGUAGGCGGCUCAGCAAGUCAGGUGUGAAACCUCCGGGCUCAACCCGGAGACGCCACCUGAUACUGCUGUGGCUAGAGUCCAGUAGGGGAGCGUGGAAUUCCCAGUGUAGCGGUGAAAUGCGCAGAUAUUGGGAGGAACACCAGUGGCGAAGGCGGCGCUCUGGGCUGGAACUGACGCUGAGGAGCGAAAGCGUGGGGAGCGAACAGGAUUAGAUACCCUGGUAGUCCACGCCGUAAACGUUGGGCACUAGGUGUGGGGCGGUACCAACCCGUUCCGUGCCGUAGCUAACGCAUUAAGUGCCCCGCCUGGGGAGUACGGCCGCAAGGCUAAA